UAUUUUUACAGAUCUCAACCAUUAAUAAUUCCACCGAGUUCGGCAGAGAAGCAAGCAUCAGACAUCAUAAAUGAACUCAAUGCAUUGAAGACAGAGAUGAAAGCAGCAAUACAGGAUGCUAAGAACAUCGAGUUGAUUGGACGUCAGAGGUCACAUGUCAUCCCUGCCAAAUCCUCUACUGACUCCACUCAUCAGGAAGCUCGUAGGGCGUAUGAUAGAUGGCAGAGGGCGCUAGAUGAACCAGCACCUUUGGAUAGAUACUUG